rnacentral:rRNA from 1 species
UACGUAGGAGGCAAGCGUUGUCCGGAAUUACUGGGCGUAAAGCGCGUGUAGGUGGUGGGACAAGUCUGCUGUGAAAGCGCCUGGCUUAACCGGGCGAGGUCGGCGGAAACUGUUCGACUCGAGGACGGUAGAGGGGGGGGUGGAAUUCCCGGUGUAGUGGUGAAAUGCGUAGAGAUCGGGAGGAACACCUGUGGCGAAGGCGGCCCCCUGGGCCGGCCCUGACACUGAGACACGAAGGCGUGGGGAGCGAACGGG